rnacentral:rRNA from 1 species
ACCGCAUACGAUCUAUGGAUGAAAGCGGGGGAUCGCAAGACCUCGCGCGAUUGGAGCGGCCGAUAUCAGAUUAGCUAGUUGGUGGGGUAAAAGCUCACCAAGGCGACGAUCUGUAGCUGGUCUGAGAGGACGACCAGCCACACUGGAACUGAGACACGGUCCAGACUCCUACGGGAGGCAGCAGUGGGGAAUUUUGGACAAUGGGCGAAAGCCUGAUCCAGCAAUGCCGCGUGCAGGACGAAGGCCUUCGGGUUGUAAACUGCUUUUGUACGGAACGAAAAAGUCUGCCCUAAUACGGUGGGCUCAUGACGGUACCGUAAGAAUAAGCACCGGCUAACUACGUGCCAGCAGCCGCGGUAAUACGUAGGGUGCAAGCGUUAAUCGGAAUUACUGGGCGUAAAGCGUGCGCAGGCGGUUAUAUAAGACAGAUGUGAAAUCCCCGGGCUCAACCUGGGACCUG